AAACUCUGGAUGAACUGAGAUAAACUGCAGUUUUCUUUGCCCGAAGGUCCUGAGUACCCAGGCCUUUCUUGGGCUUCCAACAGACCAUCACACUCACUGCUCAGAGGCCUCCCUCUCAAAGACGAGCAGCUUGGGUACCUGACUUCUACUCACAUGGUCAAGAGCGGGGGCCUGUUUCUUUUGUUUGCUUUUUGGUUUUUUUGUCUUUUUAUGGCAUAUGGCAGUCCCCAGUCUAGGGUUCAAAUCGGAGCUGUAGCUGCCAGCCUGCACCACAACCACAGCAAUGCCAGAUCCUUAACCCAUUUAUUGGGGCCAGGGAUCAAAUCUGCAUCCUCGUGGAUGGUUGUCAGACUCCCUUCCACUGAGCUGAGAUGGAAACACCCAAGGGGCCUGUUUGAAACUGGUCUUGGAACUCUGUGCAGGACAUCUGAAUGUGUCACUUGCCAAGGGACGACCUACCACCUGUCCCUCCCCUAGCUCUAUUUGUCCUCUGCAAAGUUUCCCUGACCCUCAAGACUGGAGGGUUGUCUUGCUUCCAGAGGAUCUAUGAACCUGCCGGAUGCUUCUAGAAAGCUGGCACUGAGUCUUGUUUAUCACAUCACUUUUUUCCAUGUGCCCACCAUAUUGCCUGAUGUUCAAUAUUUGUUAAAUAAAUUAAUAACCAUAUGUUUAGAGGAGAAGAGUGUUGAGUUCUAGUCGGGGGUUAGCCCCUGACUAGCUAGGUGAUUUGGAGUAAAAGUUCAACUACUAUUUUUCCUAGAUUAACCUAAAAUUCUCAUCAAUUUAAUGUGUGCAUUUUGGAAAAAUUUUUCUGUUUUAAAAUGUUACCUUGUAUUUUUCUUCAUGCUUGAGUAAUUAUGUUCUGAACAGUGCUUUAUAGUUUAUAAUAAUCCUUUUUUGGGCCCUGCCCACAGCUUGUGGAAGUUCCCAAGCCAAGGAUCCAACCACACCACACCACAGCAGCGAUCUGAGCCACUGCAGUGACAAUGCUGGAUCCUUAACCUGCUGCAUCACAAGAGAACUCCUAAUUUAUAAUACUCCUGAUCAACACCAUGUUUUCUCACUAUUGGUAUAUUUUCUUACUACUUAAAAAUUUAAAAAAUUGGGAGUUCCCAUCAAUGGCGCAGUGGUUAACGAAUCCGACUAGGAACCAUGAGGUUGCGGGUUUGAUCCCUGGCCUUGCUCAGUGGGUUAAGGAUCCGCAUUAAUAAUAAAUGACCCCUUAUAUGUCAAGGAUGAAUUGGCUUCCUUCCACAAGAAAUUUUGACUGAAAGCUAAGUUAUGUAACUUGCCCACAUGCAGGGCUAGCUCUUAAGAGGCAGAUCUAGGAUGUGGCUGUGCAUCUGCUGAGAGCUUUCUGAGGGGUCCAGCUCAGCGGAUAUAAGUAUGCAGAAUGCACAGAGUUUAGGGUAUAAUCAAAUAAGUACACAAAAUUUAUAGUAGCCAACUCUGAUAAGACCUAUCAAAGAAAAAUAUAAGAACUACGAGGUCAUAAAACUGGGGUCUAAUUUGGAGUCAGGAAAGGUGUGUGUGAGAAAAUGCAAGUUCAGCAGAUAUUUAAAAGAAGGAAGAGAGUUAACUGGGCAAAGACGGGAGUAUUACAGGCUGAGGCAUCAGCAUGUGCAAAGGCCCUAAGGUCGGAGGGGGCAAGAUGCAGCAGAGGCACUAAAACAACAUCAAUGUGGCCAAAGGUCAAAGGGCUGAAGAAUGAGGCAGGGGAAGCUGGAGUCCCAGGUCUUGUUAAGGAUCCUGGUCAAUGUCUCAUGAGCAAAAGGGAGCCACCAAAGGGGAUCUGAGGCAGGGUGACACGACCAGAUGCCUACAGUGUAGAAAUCAUUCUAAGCUGAUCUACGGGAUCUGAUGGGGGCAGCUACAGGACUAACCCACUUGUGGGUGGUGGGAAAGGGGUGGGCAAGGGGAGAUGUGUUAAAAGUGGUUGAGCGGGGGAGUUCCCACUGUGGCCCAACGGGCUCAAGGGCAUCUUGGUAGUUCUGGGACACAGGUUUGAUCCCUGGCCUGACACAGUGGGUUACAGAUCCGGCGUUGCCAUAGCUGUCGUUCCAAUCUGAUCCCUGGCCCGGGAACUCCUUAUGCCAUGGGGUGGCCAAAAGAAAAAAAAAAAAGUGGUUAAGAGGGGAGGUCUUCCCGUGGUCUAGAAGAGAGAUGACAGGCUGGGGGGUGGUGAUGAAGAUGGAGGGGGAAGGACAGUAUUUGAAAAACAGAAGAUUAAAAAAAUCAACAGAACUGGUUGGUUGGUGGAUUAGAUGGAGAAGAGGGGGAGAUUAAGUUGUACUAGGUCACCCUUAAAUGUCUAACUCGUGUAAUUAGAUAGACAGUGGGGAUCUCCACCAGUGAAGGGAACACAGACAAAAGGCCAGUUCUGUCGGGGAAGAUCACAAGGUUAGGUCCCGGCAUGCUGGGGUUUUUUUUUGGUUUUUAAGGGCUG
ensembl:lncRNA